GCCUUGUUAGUGUAGUGGUAACACGACUGACGUUGUGCCCUUGGCUAUCGUUUCUUUACUAAAGGGAAUGAUACCUGGGGGCAGAACCAAAGUCAACCCAGAGUUCAAUUCCUGGACGAGGCA